UUUGAGGAUAGCCCAGCAAUAUCAGAUCUGCCGGGGGUUCAGCACCCAAGCUGAUCAGCUGUUAGCUUGUAGCACCAGCACUACACAGCUCUGUCCAUUAUGUAGUGUGCAGAGCUGGUCACUGCAGUUACCAGCAAUGUCCACUGCAGGGUGGACAACCCUGUGUAGUUCCAGUGCUAGUGCUACAAGCUGGAUGAUCUAUUCUGAGGAUAGGCAUCAAAAUCCCGGACAACCACUUUAACACUUUAUGUAAAAAUUCCCUUGUAGAUAAAUAAGGGGCUCAAUUCAUUUAUAUACGCUCAUUGACCAAAAAAACAAUAAAGAAAUGUUGUAUUGCUGCCAGUUGUGGCAUGUAGCUAUCUCUCAGGCAGAUAUGUAAAUGAUUAGAGCUGUGGUCUGAUGUUGGGUCAGCCACUGACCACUACCCAUCGGAUCAGUAAGAAUGGAGGUAAGUUCCCUGACACAGUCCCAGAAGCGUCACAAUUUUUUUGCAUCAAUGGUGGAUCUCUGGCCCUGAGGGGGAUCGCACCCAGCUUAUUUCUAACUGUGCAGAUUUUUGCUUUUUACUUUUAAUUACUUGACCCUAAAAGAUUUUCACCAUGUCUAUAGAACAAACUUCUGGAUGUGAACACCCUGAUGUCUUCUCCUAUACCCAUGAGGAUGAGGAACCGAUACUACAGAACACAGUGAGAGAUGUCUCCUUCCUUUCUACUUUUUCUGUUGCGUAUCUAAAGGAGUAUGAAACAGAAUCCAAACGCCUGAUUAAUUUAGAGUGAAUUGCAGACCACGAAAAUUCGCAAAUGGAGGAUUACACCACUGGCUUUGUUUAUAAUUGGCAAAGGAAAUUGAGGAGGAAUCAGAAACCGUUGGCUAGAAAUGGAUCUACUACUCCCUCACGUUCUAGAAAGUCUAAAACACAGACCCAGCUGCAACCAUGACAGUCCACUUGAUUCAUUACAUCCACUCAUUUUUUGAGGACAAAGUCUGGAACCCACCGAACCAGCAAAAAUGGCGGAAGAGGGAAAUCGUCCUAAGGUCAGAGAGGGAUAAACCAUCGCCGAAAUAAAUGGUGGGAGGAUAUACUUUGUGAAUACAUGAAAGAGAACAUGACAGGCUCAUCGACCUUUGGACUCCAGGAACUUUUACUUUUUAAUUUAUAUUGACCCCCCGGUCUUACUAUCUUUAUUUUGGACCUUACCAUGGGGCACAUUUUAUAUUUUAGACAUCUUGAUGGGGGAGUUCAUGCUUCCUCUUCCCCCUGUCCCUUUAUUAAGGGACACGGGGUUUCGAGGGAUUGUCGACUCCUUCCUUAUUAUAUUGAUUGUUUUUUUUGUUUUUGUUUUUUAUAUUAAGCCACGUAUAGCCUGACUAGGAUAUCCCUUGAUCUUGAUGUGAUGUUUUAGACCACAUAAACGUGUCACUGAGUCAUCUUCCAAUAACAGGGAGGGAAGUUUUUCCACAAGUAUUUCAGGAUUUCUCCACCCCCCUUGGGACAAUACCUGCUUUGGGCAUCCAAAAUGAUGGCAGUGUACCUGGUACAGUCAUGUAGGAUGAGACGGGAGACACAUAAGGGUGCCUCUAGUCUUUCCCUCAGCUUUGGGAUUGGUGGGUUCACCCGGCUCACACCGGCUGUUUAUGGAUGUAAGCUAAUGGACAAGUUUGUGGCGUCAGUUAUACUUAGAAAGCAUAGUUACCUGUAUUUAUGAUCUCCAAGGCGAGGCAAUGAAGCGCUAUGGGUAUUGGACGCAUGCGCAAUACUAGCUGAGUGGUUAUUGGCCAAGUUGGUUUAGGUUCUCCUUACUCUGCUCCUCUCGCGAGAGUGUGAGUAUACAUAUCUGUCCACAUGUAGCCCUGGGCUAGGUGAGCCCUGUACAUGAGUCAGAUUGAUAUGAAUUAUCCACUGAUGAAUUACACAAUAGUUAUGUCCUCCUUGUGGCCCCUCACAGUAGUUAUGCCCACCUUUGUGGCCGUCAUAGUAGUAAUGCCCACCUUUGUGCCUGUCACAGUAGUUAGGCUUAACUUUGUGCCCCUCCACAUUAGUUAUACCCACCUUUGUGCCUGUCACAGUAGUUAUGUCCUCCUUGUGGCCCCUCACCUUUGUGCCCUUUACAGGAGUUAUGCUCAUCUUUGUACCCCUCCACAUUAGUUAUGCCCACCUUUGUGCCCCCCUCACAGUAGUUAUGCCC